rnacentral:rRNA from 1 species
CAAUAGCGUAUAUUAAAGUUGUUGCGGUUAAAAAGCUCGUAGUUGGAUUUCUGCCGAGGACGACCGGUCCGCCCUCCGGGUGAGUAUCUGGUUUGGCCUGGGCAUCUUCUUGGAGAACGUAGCUGCACUUGACUGUGUGGUGCGGUGUCCAGGACUUUUACUUUGAGGAAAUUAGAGUGUUUCAAGCAGGCACACGCCUUGAAUACAUUAGCAUGGAAUAAUAAGAUAGGACCUCGGUUCUAUUUUGUUGGUUUCUAGAGCUGAGGUAAUGAUUAAUAGGGAUAGUUGGGGGCAUUCGUAUUUAACUGUCAGAGGUGAAAAUCUUGGAUUUGUUAAAGACGGACUACUGCGAAAGCAUUUGCCAAGGAUGUUUUCAUUGA